rfam:Bacillus badius strain MTCC 1458 Contig11, whole genome shotgun sequence.
CCUGUGCUACAACCGCUCAUAACAGGUUGGAAGUGUUUGCUCUUGCAAACCACCUGCGAAUGGCGAGUCUGAGUAACCAA